ACAUCUGUUUCAGUUCUCUCAGGUCCAUCCUAGGAGCAGAAUUGCUGGAUCUUGGUAAAUCUGUGUUCCCACCAGCAACGCACAGGAGUUCCUGUUUCUCCGCAUCCCCACCUAUACUUGUUACACAGUCAACGGAGAAAUCCCUCCAUUGGACCUGACGCAGUCAAGGCCCCGGAAGUGUUCUGAAGAGUUGAGGAAACUGAAGCUCAGAGACAGGAAGUGCCUUCCUCCAGCUCCUACAGAAAGAACAAGACCCAGCUGGGGUGGGAGCUGGAAAGGAUUGCUGAGACGAUCAAGGACACGAAUGCGCACGAAUAACAAACCUUGUCAUCAUAACAUAACAUUGUAAGAAGGCAAAACAGGAUCUCCUGAAUCAGAAAAGUGAACUCUCGGACAGUAUUCCUACUGUAUUCGAAUGUCAACAAGCCCUUAUGGAGCGCCUGUGGUGUGCUAGGCUCUGCUGUAGGUAGGUUCUGGAGACUGCUGCAGAGAACAAAACGCACGAAAAUCCUCUGACCACGCCCCCAGGUCCUCUCCCCGCCCCCUCUUUUCCCAGCCUACCAGAAAGGGGUGGGGGUGGGGCUUACCUACAUAUUCGUGAGUCUAUCAGCCAAUCCGCAGCCUGAAGUCAGGCCUGUCUUUGGAGCAGGGGUGAUUGUGACGUCAGGAGUGACGCAUUCAGUGAUCCUUAAAGGUGCAGUAACCUCCGAUGGAGUAGGGAGUUUGGAACUGACUUGGAACGACACAUACCUGCCUUUCUUUGGCAGUCUGUACAGUGCAGGUUGGGAUGUGCAAGGCAUCGAAACCAGCGCCUACUAGCACCGAAAGAGCGUUGCCAUCGUGGGUGAAGUCCAGAGAUACGUUUGGAGAGCUCAGUCCCUGCCAGGCACUUUACUCCAGUGUCAGGUCCCUGCGCGAACUGAAGUUUCAGCACCGGGGGUCGCGGACAGCUCCAGGGCCCAACCAGAGCGCGCUGUGUGGGUGGGUGUGCGGUGUGUAGAGGGUUCUGGCGACGGGGCCCAGAAAGAGCCCCAGGUCCUCAGCCAGCCCACUGGAACAAGGCCGCCUACUCUCUGCCUGUCUGUCCCCCCAUCAAAGCCUCAGAG